GACAGAGGGUGCAAACGUUGUUCGGAAUUACUGGGCGUAAAGCGCGUGUAGGCGGCUAUGUAAGUCGGGCGUGAAAUCCCACGGCUCAACCGUGGAAGUGCACCCGAAACUGCGUAGCUAGAGUCCUGGAGAGGAAGGUGGAAUGCUUGGUGUAGAGGUGAAAUGCGCAGAUAUCAGGAAGAACACCCGUGGCGAAGGCGGCUCUCUGGGACGGUACUGACGCUGAGACGCGAAAGCGUGGGGAGCGAACAGG
rnacentral:rRNA from 1 species